rnacentral:rRNA from 1 species
UCAGCAGUCAAAAAUAUUAGUCAAUGCUCGAAAGAGUGAACUAGCUAACUGAAGUCAAUAAAAUAAUUGAUAACAUAAGGGAAAAUAAUGAUAUUACCUGUAUUAUUAGUGUCGUCCAAAACUGGUGCCAGAAGACUCGGUAAGGCCAGAGACACAAACGUUAAUCGUCUUAAUCAGGCGUAAAGGGUUUGUAGGCGGCUUUAAAAUUUACUAAAAAAAAAUAAAAGUAAAGAAUAAAAGCUAGAAUCAAAUAGAGGAUAUAUGAAAGAAUGCUUAGAGUAGGUCUGAUAUCCUUAGAUACUAAGUAGAAUAUUAAAGGCGAAAGCUUUUUUCCAUUAAUGAUUGACGCUCAGAAACGAAGGUGAGGAUAGGAAAUAGGAUUAGAUACCCAGAAUACCCCUCUCUGUCAACGAUGAAUGGUAGUUAUUAGUACAAAUUAUUAAUGGCAAUGUUAACACGAUAACCAUUCCGCCUUGUGAGUACAACUGCAAAGUUGAAAACAAAAAAAUUAGUCGGUUUCGGAGCAAACGAAGUGAAGCAUGUUAUUUAAUUCGAUAAUCCGCA